rnacentral:sRNA from 4 species
GCUCCGGGAGCAUUAACCCACACACGUGUCGACACGAUGGCCUGGGUGCCUUUGAUCCUCGGAUCAAUGGUUGGUCAUUGGGAUACGUGGAGGCCCAACC